rnacentral:rRNA from 1 species
UACGUAGGGGGCAAGCGUUGUCCGGAAUCAUUGGGCGUAAAGAGCGCGUAGGCGGCCCAGUAACGACCGCUCUGAAAGUCAGGGGCUCAACCCGUGGAUGCCGGGUGGAUACGUGGCUGGGCUGAGAGUCCGGAAGAGGUGAGUGGAAUUCCUGGUGUAGCGGUGAAAUGCGCAGAUAUCAGGAGGAACACCGGUGGCGAAGGCGGGUCUCUGGGCCGAUACUGACGCUGAGGAGCGAAAGCGUGGGGAGCGAACAGG